ACGCACGCUGGCGGCGUGCUUAACACAUGCAAGUCGAACGGAAAGGCCCCUUUGGGGGUACUCGAGUGGCGAACGGGUGAGUAACACGUGAGUAACCUGCCCUUGACUUCGGGAUAACUUCAGGAAACUGGGGCUAAUACCGGAUAGGAAUCCUUGCUGCAUGGUGGGGGUUGGAAAGCUUCGGCGGUUUUGGAUGGACUCGCGGCGUAUCAGCUUGUUGGUGGGGUAGUGGCUUACCAAGGCUUUGACGGGUAGCCGGCCUGAGAGGGCGACCGGCCACAUUGGGACUGCGAUACGGCCCAGACUCCUACGGGAGGCAGCAGUGGGGAAUAUUGCACAAUGGGCGGAAGCCUGAUGCAGCAACGCCGCGUGCGGGAUGACGGCCUUCGGGUUGUAAACCGCUUUCAGCAGGGGCGAAGCUUGUGGUGACGGUACCUGCAGAAGAAGCACCGGCUAACUACGU
rnacentral:rRNA from 1 species